rnacentral:misc_RNA from 1 species
GCAAACUUGGUCAUUUAGAGGAAGUAAAAGUCGUAACAAGGUUUCCGUAGGUGAACCUGCGGAAGGAUCAUUUCAAUAUAAAAGACUGGGGAGUCUUUUACGACAAACUGUGCACUUGUCUAUGUAUAUAUACUUGAAGCAGACUUGUUGAAUCUUUCAGUUAUCUGUGUGUAUGUAUGUAUGUAUGUGUAUUGCCCUCUGCUGCUAUGCUAGUAGUAGUGGUAGUAGUUGCAUAUAUAUAUAAUAUAUGUGUGCAUUCAACGUAUAACCAAAUACAACUUUUAACAAUGGAUCUCUUGGCUCUUGCAUCGAUGAAGAACGCAGC